rnacentral:sRNA from 1 species
UCCACAUCCAACUUUUAAGAUGAUCCCUAACAGGAUUAAAGUCCUCCACAAGCAGGCAGAGGCAAGCUAUUCAGAAAAACAAGGUCAUGCUGCUUUUUUUUUUUUUUUUUUUUUGGUAAGCACAGGAAUCAACAAAGAGAUGUUAUAUAACUUCUAUUUAUAUCCCACUUGCUCACUAGCUGCAGGCACACACGAGUAGCUGAGGAGGGAAUUUAAUGAGCUCUCAGGGCUUGCUCACCUUCCAGAGCUGGUAGGAGCCAGCUUGUUUUUGAAGUGCGUCAGCAAAUGAAACUGGUGGUGGGUGGGUGGUUUGGGUAGGUGGACUGACUUGUUGCUAUGGUUUUCUUUAAUUCCUCUGUCUCUCAA